AUUGAACGCUGGCGGCAGGCCUAACACAUGCAAGUCGGGCGAGAGGCGGACGGGUGAGUAAUGUAUGGGGAUCUGCCUGAUGGCGGGGGAUAACUACUGGAAACGGUAGCUAAGACCGCAUACAAACAGAUGAACCCAUAUGGGAUUCGCUAGUGGGUAAGGUAACGGCUGACCUAGGCGACGAUCACUAGCUGGUCUGAGAGGAUGAACAGCCACACUGGGACUGAGACACGGCCCAGACUCCUACGGGAGGCAGCAGGGGGGAAUAUUGCACAAUGGGCGCAAGCCUGAUGCAGCCAUGCCGCGUGUAUGAAGAAGGCCUUCGGGUUGUAAAGUACUUUCAGUCGGGAGGCGUUACCGACAGAAGAAGCACCGGCUAACUCCGUGCCAGCAGCCGCGGUAAUAC
rnacentral:rRNA from 1 species